rnacentral:snoRNA from 1 species
CCCCUCUCAGGUCUCACCUGGAGAGUUUCCAGUACUCUACAAGUCUCAGCUAUGGGAAGGAGAGUCAAGCAGAGGCCUGUCCAUUCCAUUCCUAGCUUGGGCAGUGGCUAGCGAGUGGAAGGCAAUCUGCUACAAGU